CCUACGGGAGGCAGCAGUGAGGAAUAUUGGUCAAUGGACGAAAGUCUGAACCAGCCAUGUCGCGUGCAGGAAGACUGCCCUAUGAGUUGUAAACUGCUUUUGUACGAGGGUAAACGCAGACACGUGUAUCUGUCUGAAAGUAUCGUAAGAAUAAGGAUCGGCUAACUCCGUGCCAGCAGCCGCGGUAAUACGGAGGAUUCAAGCGUUAUCCGGAUUUAUUGGGUUUAAAGGGUGCGUAGGCGGUCGGAUAAGUUAGAGGUGAAAUCCUGGGGCUCAACUUCGGAAUUGCCUCUGAUACUGUUCGUCUUGAGAGGAGUUGCGGUAGGCGGAAUGUAUGGUGUAGCGGUGAAAUGCUUAGAUAUCAUGCAGAACACCGAUUGCGAAGGCAGCUUACC
rnacentral:rRNA from 1 species